CUCGCAUCUACCCCAGCACUUAGGACAGUGCCUGACGGAUGGAUGUUUUCAGUUUGAUCCUGAGCUGUUUCUCCCCUGCCCGAUACAUUUCAGAAGUGCAGCUCUCAAAUUGGUGGUUUUCUGUGCUUUGAGAGAUCUUUCCCGGCACUGUCCAGUUUUCCAGAAACUUAGCUAUCUGUCCGCAGCGACUCCGGCCAGAUCCUUGAAUUCCCCAGAACACGAGCGUUCGGAAGCUGCAGAAUCGAAUGCGUGGGAGAAGAAGUUUCUGAGUUCUUCAAUCCGUGCAACUGCCCGCCAGCAGUGGCACUAAUAAGAGGUAGGUCAGAAGAAGAGACCUUCUUUUCUGAAAACAAAAGUGACCCUGUUUUGUUUUCCUCAGACAACGAGCCUAGCGGAGGGGCGGUGGUUUGAAUGUGAAGCCCACAGAGGAGAAAAUGGAUGCCCUUUGUGACUGAUGAUUGCUUCGUGAAGCCUCUAAUGACAGAGCUUGAUAUAC